UUUCUGCCGUGAUGAGCUGCAUGUUCAGUCCGUGUUUCACAUGACCACUCUGAUUAUACACAUGCCCUGAGCAGAGA
rnacentral:snoRNA from 1 species